rnacentral:rRNA from 1 species
UGGGGAAUAUUGCACAAUGGGCGAAAGCCUGAUGCAGCAACGCCGCGUGAGUGAUGAAGGCCUUCGGGUUGUAAAGCUCUGUCUUUUGGGACGAUAAUGACGGUACCAAAGGAGGAAGCCACGGCUAACUACGUGCCAGCAGCCGCGGUAAUACGUAGGUGGCAAGCGUUGUCCGGAUUUACUGGGCGUAAAGGAUGCGUAGGCGGAUUUUUAAGUGAGAUGUGAAAUACCCGGGCUUAACUUGGGUGCUGCAUUUCAAACUGGGAAUCUAGAGUGCGGGAGAGGAGAAUGGAAUUCCUAGUGUAGCGGUGAAAUGCGUAGAGAUUAGGAAGAACACCAGUGGCGAAGGCGAUUCUCUGGACCGUAACUGACGCUGAGGCAUGAAAGCGUGGGUAGCAAACAGGAUUAGAUACCCUGGUAGUCCACGCCGUAAACGAUGAGUACUAGGUGUAGGAGGUAUCGACCCCUUCUGUGCCGCAGUUAACACAAUCAAGUACUCCGCCUGGGAAGUACGAUCGCAAGAUUAAAACUCAAAUGAAUUGACGGGGU